rnacentral:rRNA from 1 species
CCUACGGGAGGCAGCAGUGGGGAAUAUUGGACAAUGGGCGCAAGCCUGAUCCAGCAAUGCCGCGUGAGUGAUGAAGGCCUUAGGGUCGUAAAGCUCUUUUACCAGGGAUGAUAAUGACAGUACCUGGAGAAUAAGCUCCGGCUAACUCCGUGCCAGCAGCCGCGGUAAUACGGAGGGAGCUAGCGUUGUUCGGAAUUACUGGGCGUAAAGCGUACGUAGGCGGUUAUUCAAGUCAGAGGUGAAAGCCCGGGGCUCAACCCCGGAACGGCCUUUGAAACUAGGUAGCUAGAAUCUUGGAGAGGUCAGUGGAAUUCCGAGUGUAGAGGUGAAAUUCGUAGAUAUUCGGAAGAACACCAGUGGCGAAGGCGACUGACUGGACAAGUAUUGACGCUGAGGUACGAAAGCGUGGGGAGCAAACAGGAUUAGAUACCCUGGUAGUCCACGCCGUAAACGAUGAUAACUAGCUGUUCGGGCACUUGGUGCUUGAGUGGCGCAGCUAACGCAUUAAGUUAUCCGCCUGGGGAGUACGGUCGCAAGAUUAAAACUCAAAUGAAUUGACGNGUUGAGUAGUUGCGACGCGACGACGAGGGAGGAG